UUCGGAAGGAUGGGUCAUUCUCCCAUGUUGUUGGAUUGUUUGUUUCUGAUUAGAAAAGGUUUUGAAACAGCGAUCAUCAAACAUGAAACUACCAUAAUAUCUCAAUUGACCAUGGUUGCUAGGGAUGAUGUUAUUAGCUUGUGUCCAGGAUUACUCUGUAUAAUAUUUUUCUUAUUGAGGCAAUGGAGUGUUAGUGCUAUUAUAGUUGAUAGAGGCAAGGUGUAAGUCUUGAGGCGGAAUGGGGUGUAAGCCUCAAUUAAAGGAAAAAACCUUUAAAAAAUAAAAUUCACAUAAAAAUAGAGUAAUAAGAAAACGAUUGAAUUCAAGAAAAUUCAUUGUUUUUCAUAAAAGUUUCCAAUUUAGUUCAUCUUUCCCUCUUCCAAAAUGCAACUCUGUCUCAUGAGUCAUGGUUUGAUGAAAUUACUCAUCACUCCUAAGCAUCACCAUCAUUAACACUAGUGGGAUCAUGUAAGGAAUCUUUAUUAUAUCUAAUUGCUUUAUCAUCCUCUCUAUCAAUAUCAAUUUCCACCCAUGUUUCUUUUCAACCACCAAUUGCAGCAUCAUAGGUUUAAGCUUUAAGCAAAGCGGUGGCUAUAAGGAGGCAUCAUUGCGAUUCUAGCUGUGAUUCUGAUGACUCUUGCAGCAAAGUAGUCCUCCUCUGGAAGUAAGAACCCAGCACCCAGGACCCAGCCAACAGCCAAGAAGUCUUCUCUUCUCCUUCUAAAUAUCUUUCCUUUUCCCCUCUUAUUUAUUUAUUUUUUUAAAUCAACCUAAGAAAUUGAUCUAAGACCCAGAAAUUUACCCAAGAUCUAAGCCCAUGACUCAAAACUUACAAAAUAGAAUAAAAAAAGCCUAAAAACAUUAAAAAUCCAUUGGAUAUGGAGGCCCAAGAAGAACAAAUACUCAUAAACGUGCCAUCAUAUCUGAGGCUUAAGCCUCAAGGUUGUGUGCCUUGGUAGGGUGAGGCUUAAUCCUCAACUACAGACUUAAGUCUCACCAUUAUUUCUUAAUGCUUCCUCAAGGCAUAAAAUCCUUUUAAAACACCAUAGGCAACUUAACUGGCACAUGAGUGGUCCUAGGCUCAUCUAAUAGGCUAGUAUAGCUAGUAUUGUAUUAUAUUGUAGGCUACUAUUGAUGGUACUUCAUCAUAUUUUAGCUUUAUGCUCUCUGUUGUUUCAUUUAUUACAGUGUUGGCAAGCAUGUGGGAAGGUGAUUGUAGGCACUUGCAUGCAUUGAGAACAUUUUUUUUUAAAUAAAAUAAAAAAUUAGAAAGAAGCUAUUCAUUGAUAUGGAUUUUGAAAACAAGCAAAGGAUGAGAAAUCCUUCCAAGAAUACAAAGGAUCCAAUAACAAGGAAAUACUUGGCAGGAGUGACAAUGUAGCUACAUUGAAGGAUGAGACAAUAAAAUGCAUUGAGAAUUUGUAAAGCAAUUGGAAGAUGGUGAGGAAGAAAAUCAUGAUUGGGAUGAUUUUCAUUUUUUCUAUUUCUCUAGGGCUAAGUUUUUGCAGCCUACCCCACGUACACAGGGAGUAUAGGGGUGGUAGUAUCAUCCUUAUAAUUAUGAGUCUCAGCUCUGUUGAAUUCUUUCUUUUUGCAUGUGGUGGCUCUUUUGUUUUUGUCUUAUAAGCAUGGCACUGUUUUACCUCUGUAUAAAUUUAAUUUAUGUUGUUUGUGCUUGGGGUUUGGCCCUUCUUUUUCUUUAUUACUUUAUCAUUUCUUAUGUGUCGCAAAGAGAAGGAAAAGUGACUGAUUCUGAAAAUUUGAAAUAUAUGACCUGUGAAUUCCUGAAUAUUUGUAGUCAGAUCACCAUUAAUAAGUAAAGACAUUGUUCUGGUUUCCUAGUGAAGGCAAGCAUCAAAUACUGGAAUCUUUAAAUCAACUUUUUUCAUAGAUAGCUAGGAGAAAUAUCUGGACGGUCACAUGCCAAAGAAAACAGCAAAGAUGAAGAGCCCUACAUAAUGGAUUAAGUGAGAAAAGAAAAUCAAAAUUCUUUUGCCCACAAAACAAAAAUAAAUAAAUAAAUAAAUAAAUAAAUAAAAUCUACAUGGGAAGCCUCUGGUCUACAGAAAAAGAAAAGGUCCAAAUGAAAGUUAUCCUUCAGCUACAAGAUUGGAUUUUCUUCCUUCUGACAGAUCCCUCUGCUAGUUUCUUCCAACGCUAUGGAAACAAACAUUAGCAUUGUCUUCCUUAAAAAAUGGAGGCACCCACUGAACAGAAAAAGUGAAGACAGUAAGGUUCAAAGUUCUCCAGCUUCCCAACAGUUGAUAAUAUCGUGGUUUGUUGACUGCUGACUUUUUUUGUGCAAGCACCACCAAUAAAUCAUGUGAAACCUUGCUGCAUCAAGUGGUUAAUGGUGAGGACUUCCCUGAGCUACCUCCAUGCAUAAAAUUCCACUCUGGAGGGAACCACUGGCACCCAUACCUCGUAAGCUGGGGACUUUCUGCUGCCCCUUCUGCUUAAUUCCAGAAACAGUGACUUAAAAGUGAAUCUUUCAUCCCUACCAAGUCUUCAUCUGCUUGUAUCUUCUCUGUUUCUGAGUAUUGCUUGUCAUAGAGUAUACCCAUAAGCUUCACCAAUGCCUCUAAUUAUCACUCUUGUGAGAUUGAAAUAAAAGCAUGGAACCUAUAAAUAUCAGUCAUUUUUUUUUUGAUAGACCAAGAAGAAAAUUAGAUUAAAACACGCCAAAAAACAGGGGGCGCUCACGUACACAGGUUGUAUACAAAGAAGGCCCAAAUCAAGGCAACAAAAGAAAGAGAAAGCCUAAGAAGGAAUAGUUAAACAACAACUCGAUCACCCAACAAAUUCCAAAAAGAGAGAUAGUCCAAGUCCAAGUCCAGAAAUUGUUGAGACCACUCAAGAAGAGACCGAAGAAAGAGUUUCCUCAAGCUCAUAUCUGGCAUCUCUUCCUCUUGGAAGAUUCUUCGAUUUUGCUCUCUCCAAAUACACCAAAACAGACAAAUAGGCGCCAUUUUCCAAACUACACUCUUUUUCUUCCCCAGGCUUUAAUUUUCCAUUCAAGAAGCAGAUUUCUCACUGAUUCCGGGAGCACCCACACUACCCCAAAAGAAGAAAACAACAAAGUCCAAAGAUCCCUUGUCUUACCACAAUGAAUUAGGAUGUGGUUCGCCGUUUCCUCAUUUUCUUUGCAAAGAAUGCAUCUAUUGACCAUAGACCAACCCCUCCUCAUUAGCAUAUCUACAGUAGAAAUUUUACCCCAAACCUCCUUUGUUGGAAAUAAAGGGCUGUUGUCUUCCUUCAAAGACCUAUAAUAAGAUUUUACCUUAAAUAUUCCUUUCCUCUCAAUUUUCCAAACCAGAAAAUCCUCCCCUUCUUGCACCUUUACUGUAGAAAUGUAACCCAAAAAGCGAUUCACCUCCUCCAACUCCCAAUCUUGAAAGGAUCUUCUAAAGUGCACCUCCCAACCCCCGCCACCACCUUCUUGUCUCCCCCAUAGAUCAGCCACUACUGCAGAAUUAUGUGUUGCAAUUCUAAACAGCAAAGGGAAGAGAUCCUUUAGCUUAGACCUAGCCAAAUCCCAUGUGAUCUCCACAAAGGCAUUGAAGUCAGAUGAUUUGCUAAAAAAGCUUGGAAAUGACCGUUUAAGGAGAACCCCUAACCAAAUUCCCAGUUGGACUGGUCUCUCACCUCCUUGGAGCACUAAUUGCCCACCUCCACCUUGAACUUGCCUAUUACAACCUCUUUCCAAAAGCUCUUCCCCUCUCUUGCAAACCUUAUGAAUCUCAGAAAGUUACUAUCCUAAAAGAAAAAAGAAAAAAAAAUCUCGUUGUAUAGCGGAGGUUUUUAGUGUUUAGAUCAGGCUUGUAUUUUUGUGGGAAGGAUUCCUCAUCCUUCUCAUGAACUCUUUUAUAUGUAAUUAAUUCAUC